GACAGAGGGUGCAAACGUUGUUCGGAAUUACUGGGCGUAAAGCGAGUGUAGGCGGUGUGGUAAGUCGGAUGUGAAAGCCCCGGGCUCAACCCGGGAAGUGCACUCGAUACUGCCACGCUAGAGUAUCGGAGAGGUUGGUGGAAUUCUCGGUGUAGAGGUGAAAUUCGUAGAUAUCGAGAGGAACACCGGUGGCGAAGGCGGCCAACUGGACGAAUACUGACGCUGAGACUCGAAAGCGUGGGGAGCAAACAGG
rnacentral:rRNA from 1 species